UCUUUAGUUUGCAUAUUAAAAAUAAAAAUAAAUUAUAGGAACAUCUCUUCGAUUUUAAUUCAAAUUUACUUAUGCCUCUUCAAUUUUAAAAAGUAUCAAACUAGUCAUUCAAGUUUUCAAGAUGUUCAAAAUAGUCUUGCUAUCCACUUACCAAUAAAUAUAUGUUAUCUUUCUAUUUCAAUUAAUGAGAAUAUCCUUUUCUCAUAUAGGUGGGAUCACCUGCAAGGAAAGAGUGAAGGUAGAGAGAGCUAUGG
rnacentral:lncRNA from 1 species